GCUGGGAGUCACAUUGCCAUGGUGAUUCUCCAGCAGUAAGAAUCACCAUUUGAGUUGUCUCCUUUUACAAGAGGGUUAGAGUUGGUGAUGCGGUUACCAAGUUGACUCUUCUCCAAUCAUGCUGACAUGAGACUCCCGCUGAUUUUCUUGACCUCAAUGCUGAAAUGUGGGAUAGAAUAUCCAGCCUCUAACUAGAUCUACCAUAAGUUUGGUUGGAAGAAUUAGAGUUAAUAUCAUGACACACCAAUGAAAAAGCUCUUUGGCCACCAGGCAAAACCUCAGAUGAAGGAAGACUGCAGUAGAAGCGAUGAGCAGUGUCCUUUCUGCAUGGCUGGACCAAGAUUAGAGUCAAAGUCACUGUAUCUUCUACUAUUUUCUUCUUGAUUUGCAUCCAGAAUUGUCUCUGUACUAACUAGAUUUUAAUUAAAAGGAAGUGGAAUAGUAAGAUAUAAAUUUCCACUUAUAAAAUUAGCAUAUAGGUGGGAGUAUUACAGUUUUCAUGAAAAGCAAUUUGAGAGACUGUUAAGAACUUAAAAGAUGAACAUAGAUACCUAUCCUAAGGAAAUAAUUAGAGAGACCAAUUAACAUAUCGACAGGGCUAUUUAUUAUUCUGAAUAAUUGAAAAACUAAAUGUACAAUGUCCAAUAUUAGAUGAAUGAAUAAAUUAUAGCAUACUAAUAUAAUUACAGUAUACUCAGA
rnacentral:lncRNA from 1 species